rnacentral:misc_RNA from 1 species
UGCGGCUGGAUCCCCUCCUUUCUAAGGUUUCGAAAAUCAGACAAGACGUUCGCGUCUUUCUUUUUCGAGCUUAGACAUAAGCGGCGUCGCCGCCUUCGCCUCCCUUUCUCAAGCGAGUUUUGUGGAAGCCGGGCACCAAGCCUCGGGCCAAUCGUGCCUGAGACUGGAUUCCGGCUCACGGCUUCCAAGCGGGCUUGUAGCUCAGCUGGUUAGAGCGCGCGCUUGAUAAGCGUGAGGUCGGAAGUUCAAAUCUUCCCAGGCCCACCAUCCCUCGCGCCAUAAGCGCGAGAGCGGUCCGUUGCCGUUUCUUGGGGGCCGUAGCUCAGUUGGGAGAGCGCUAGCUUUGCAAGCUUGAGGUCGUCGGUUCGAUCCCGUCCGGCUCCACCACCUUCAGACUUCAGACAUCGGAAACUGGAUACCGGUUAUCGAUCUCUGAGUUCUGAAAUCGGAACUCGUUCUUUGACAUUGUGAAGAAGGGAUUUGUUGUGAGCUUUCGCCGUUCGGACUUCUGUUCGGGCCGCGUGAGCGAAGCGACAAAUCCGUAGUCUUGAAAGUCUGACUUCAAACAAUCGUUGAUCGACUUGAUCGUGAGCUACGGCUGUCGAGCCGUGGAAUUCUGGUCAUGGGCGAUGACGAGAGGGAUCAAGUGCCUUAAGGGCACUCGACGGAUGCCUUGGUGCUGAGAGGCGAUGAAGGACGUGGCACGCUGCGAUAAGCCGUGGGGAGCUGUGAGCAAGCUUUGAUCCAUGGAUUUCCGAAUGGGGAAACCCGG